UACGUAGGGGGCGAGCGUUGUCCGGAAUCAUUGGGCGUAAAGCGCGUGUAGGCGGCUCGAUAAGUCCGGUGUGAAACCUUGGGGCUCAACCCCAAGCCUGCACUGGAUACUGCCGAGCUAGAGUCCGGGAGGGGAGAGCGGAAUUCCUAGUGUAGCGGUGAAAUGCGCAGAUAUCAGGAGGAACACCAAUGGCGAAGGCAGCUCGCUGGGACGGUACUGACGCUGAGGCGCGAAAGCGUGGGGAGCAAACAGG
rnacentral:rRNA from 1 species